GACGAACGCUGGCGGCGUGCUUAACACAUGCAAGUCGAACGGACAGGCCCUGCUUUUGUGGGGUGCUCGAGUGGCGAACGGGUGAGUAACACGUGAGUAACCUGCCCUUGACUUUGGGAUAACUUCAGGAAACUGGGGCUAUUACCGGAUAGGAGCUCCUGCUGCAUGGUGGGGGUUGGAAAGUUUCGGCGGUUGUGGAUGGACUGGCGGCUUAUCAGCUUGUUGGUGGGGUAGUGGCUUACCAAGGCUUUGACGGGUAGCCGGCCUGAGCGGGUGACCGGCGACAUUGGGACUGAGAGACGGCCCAGACUCCUACGGGAGGCAGCAGGGGGGAAUAUUGCACAAGGGGCGGAAGCCUGAUGCAGCAACGCCGCGUGCGGGAUAACGGCCUUCGGGUUGUAAACCGCUUUCGCCUGUGACGAAGCGUGAGUGACGGUAAUGGGUAAAGAAGCACCGGCUAACUACGUG
rnacentral:rRNA from 1 species